rnacentral:lncRNA from 1 species
UAAAACGAGACAUGCUUGAAAAGGUCUGAUCUUGGUAGGAAAUGUCAGAAAUAGGCUUAAAAUGCUUUGAAUACGCCGGAGCAAGGCCAGAUAGGCCAUGGAACCUUAAAUCGGUGAAGAUCUGAAUCGGACACCAUCGAGGCCAGACCUCAAAACUUCGAACACCAAACGUUUAAGAGCGAAGGAAGGGGACUAUAGGCCGUCCAUGGCAUGAGAGGCCAUGGAUUCCGGUGAGAUUGAUGUUGAAAAUGGUAGAAGACGACUGAGAGUUUGAGAGAGGGAGGGUAUUCAGAG